UACGGGGGGGGCAAGCGUUGUUCGGAAUUACUGGGCGUAAAGGGCUCGUAGGCGGCCAACUAAGUCAGACGUGAAAUCCCCAGGCUUAACCUGGGAACUGCGUCUGAUACUGGAUGGCUUGAAUUCGGGGAGAGGGAUGCAGAAUUCCAGGUGUAGCGGUGAAAUGCGUAGAUAUCAAGUGGAACACCAGUGGCGAAGGCGAAUCCCUGGAAAAUACCUGACACUGAGGCACGAAAGCUAGGGGAGCAAACAGG
rnacentral:rRNA from 1 species